AGUGAACGCUGGCGGUAGGCCUAACACAUGCAAGUCGAACGGCAGCACAGUAAGAGCUUGCUCUUACGUGUGGCGCGUGUCGGACGGUUGAGUAAUACAUCGGAAUCUACUUUUUCGUGGGUGCUAACGUCGGGAAACUUACUCUAAUACCGCAUACGACCUCCUUGCGUAAGCAGGUGUUCUUCUAACCUUUCGCGAUGGAAUGAGCCUAUGUCGGCUUCGCUAGUUGGCUGGUUAAAGGCCCACCACGGCUACGAUCCGUAGGUGGUAUGAGAGGAUGAUCAGACACACUGGAACAGAGACACGGUCCAGACUCCGACGGGAGGCAGCAGUGGGGAAUAUUGGACAAUGGGCGAAAGCCUGAUACAGCAAUACCGCGUGGGGGAAGAAGGCGUAAGGGUUGUAAAGCCAUUAUGUUGGGAAAGAAAAGCAGCAGGUUAAUACCGCGCUGUUAUGACGGUACCGAAAGAAUAAGCACCGGCUAACUUCGUG
rnacentral:rRNA from 1 species